rnacentral:rRNA from 1 species
ACUCAAAGGAAUAGACGGGGGCCCGCACAAGCAGCGGAGCGUGCGGUUUAAUUCGACGCAACGCGCAGAACCUUACCAGGCCUUGACAUGCCCCUGCAAGCGCACGGAAACGUGUGACCUCCGAGGGUGGGGCACAGGUGCUGCAUGGCUGUCGUCAGCUCGUGUCGUGAGAUGUUGGGUUCAGUCCCGCAACGAGCGCAACCCCUGCGACCAGUUGCAUGCUCUCUGGUCGGACCGCCGCCACAAGCGGAGGAAGGCGGGGAUGACGUCAAGUCCGCAUGGCCCUGACGGCCUGGGCGACACGCACGCUACAAUGGCCGGGACAAUGGGGGGCGAAGCCGCGAGGCGGAGCGAAUCCCGGAAACCCGGUCCCAGUUCGGAUCGGGGGCUGGAACCCGCCCCCGUGAAGGCGGAGUUGCUAGUAACCGCGGGUCAGCCAUACCGCGGUGAAUCUGUUCCCGGGCCUUGUACACACCGCCCGU